rnacentral:rRNA from 1 species
AGAGUGAACGCUGGCGGUAGGCCUAACACAUGCAAGUCGAACGGCAGGCACAGUAAGAGCUUGCUCUUAUGGGUGGCGAGUGGCGGACGGGUGAGGAAUACAUCGGAAUCUACCUUUUCGUGGGGGAUAACGUAGGGAAACUUACGCUAAAUACCGCAUAAGACCUUCGGGUGAAAGCCGGGGACCUUCGGGCCUGGCGCGGAUAGAUGAGCCGAUGUCGGAUUAGCUUGUUGGCGGGUAAAAGCCCACCAAGGCGACGAUCCGUAGCUGGUCUGAGAGGAUGAUCAGCCACACUGGAACUGACGACGCGGUCCAGACU